UGUGGGUCGCUCCACACUCUUUGUGUCAGUUUCAAUUGGUGUUGUUUUCAUUUAUGGCGGUUUGUUUACAUUUCGUUGCGGUUAUCAUCAGUUCCCGUGGUUCGAUAUUCGGUCGAGCUUUCUUUUCGUCAACCUCAUCGUGACGAUCGUGGUGCUCGGUGGACUGUUGGCAACGAUCGAAAAGCAUCUGCCCACUGCCAUCCGGCAGACGUUUGCUGCCCUCUGGUCGGUGGCCGGAUUUGCCGUCAUGAUGUAGCCAGCGCGGGACUACGUAAUCGCCUUCCUCGAUACGUUGGCAACCAACAAGCGUAUGGUGCGCACCACGCCUACCGAGACGAUGGCAUGACGGCAUGCCAUGACGCUGAUCACGCUGCAGUGUUUGCGCCGGUUCCACAAGACCUGGUUCGUGCAGGUGUUCUCGAGCAAGCUGAAAAUCACCCACCAGUUGUACGUGGAACACUUUCACAACUAUCCGAAGCAAGCUCGUCAGGAAAACACUCGUCCCGUUCGUUCUGUGAGAUCGACGGUGAGGGUGCGGAUAAUAUCGUUCCGGUUGUUGGGCUUUUUUUAGGAUCGAAAAAAUGGUAUGGUUGGUGUCCGGCUUUUUUUAGGUUGCUGGUUCCCGGCUGAUGGGAUUCAGCUGGUUUUCCUGGAUCUUCUGUGAAUGCCUUGUUCCACGGACCGGUCGUCGAUGCACUCGAGGUGCACCGCAUUGACGAGCGGCAGUAGCAGGAUGCAAUCGGCGCGGCCGAGCUGGCAGCGAAGCCGGUUCUCGGUGAGCCAUUCACGCCGAAUGAGGGCGGUCAAGAGCCGGCUGCAUACGUUCGAUAUAUUCGCUACGCGCACGAUCAAACUGUGUAACGAUGCCGAGUGUGUCCGGCCAUCGCGACUAGGAAGUUAAGUUGCGUCGUCUAUUGUGACACCUUUUCAUCAACAACUGGCAUGACUAUCGGCGCACGGUCGGUGGCUCUAGCGAAGGGGAGGGUGCGUUCCAAUCGGCUGGCAGGACACAGAUCGGAUCGGUUAGGACAACGAUCGGCAUAGUACGGCUCGCGACCCGCAUGUGGCUAUUUGUUGACUAGUUGCCUCUUCAAGUGCAAAUCUACGAACAUGUUUAGAAGAUUUGGCUCUUUCGGUCGCAACGUUUGCGGAGUCGCUGGGGAUAUUGGAUUGUAAGGAAUGAAUAUACUGUCCGCAGGAACCAGAUGAUGACAUCACCAAGGAGCUAAUGCGCUAAAGCUUAUCAGGAGGAGGCGAGAAUGGUUUGAUGUUUUUGGCACAGCUCCCACGUAUCAUCCAUACCACACCAAAUCAUUAUGGCGCAGCCGUGAAUAUGUACAACGUCAUCCUGCUCGGGUAGGAUGGUGACGGUCUCCCGCUCGGUAUAUCUUGACGGCAGUAUAACGCAA